CCUCGGAUCAGGUAGGAAUACCCGCUGAACUUAAGCAUAUCAAUAAGCGGAGGAAAAGAAACCAACAGGGAUUGCCCUAGUAACGGCGAGUGAAGCGGCAACAGCUCAAAUUUGAAAUCUGGCCCUUGUGGUCCGAGUUGUAAUUUGUAGAGGAUGCUUUUGGUUAGGUGCCUUCCGAGUUCCCUGGAACGGGACGCCAUAGAGGGUGAGAGCCCCGUCUGGUUGGACACCGAGCCUCUGUAAAGCUCCUUCGACGAGUCGAGUAGUUUGGGAAUGCUGCUCUAAAUGGGAGGUAUAUGUCUUCUAAAGCUAAAUAUUGGCCAGAGACCGAUAGCGCACAAGUAGAGUGAUCGAAAGAUGAAAAGCACUUUGAAAAGAGGGUUAAAAAGUACGUGAAAUUGUUGAAAGGGAAGCGCUUGUGACCAGACUUGGGCCCGGUCAAUCAUCCAGGGUUCUCCCUGGUGCACUUUUCCGGCUCAGGCCAGCAUCAGUUUGUCGCGGGGGAUAAAGACGUUGGGAAUGUGGCUCCUCCGGGAGUGUUAUAGCCCUUCGUGUAAUACCCUGCUUCGGACUGAGGUUCGCGCAUCUGCAAGGAUGCUGGCGUAAUGGUCAUCAGCGACCCGUCUUGAAACACGGACCAAGGAGUCGUCUUCGUAUGCGAGUGUUCGGGUAUCAAACCCCUACGCGUAAUGAAAGUGAACGCAGGUGAGAGCUUCGGCGCAUCAUCGACCGAUCCUGAUGUUCUCGGAUGGAUUUGAGUAAGAGCAUACGGGGCCGGACCCGAAAGAAGGUGAACUAUGCCUGUAUAGGGUGAAGCCAGAGGAAACUCUGGUGGAGGCUCGCAGCGGUUCUGACGUGCAAAUCGAUCGUCAAAUAUGGGCAUGGGGGCGAAAGACUAAUCGA
rnacentral:rRNA from 1 species